GAACCAUAGCUCAGUGGUAGAGCAUCUGCCUUGCAGGCAGAAUGUCCUGGGUUCAAUCCCCAGCAUCUCCA